rnacentral:lncRNA from 1 species
CUUCCCUAAUUACUUAAUUAGUUGUUUAUCGGAGAAUUUAGUAAAAGCUUGAUCUAAACUUUACUAAGAAGCGAUAAAAUUUGAGAAAAGUGUCACUGUAAUUUGUAUACGGUAUGUAAUCAUCCGUACAUAUAUGAUAUGAAUUGGUGUACUGAUACAUAUCAAUGUUUACAUGGGUCGUAGCAGAACAAACAAAGCAACAUAGAACAUGGUUGAAACAAGUUUCCAGAGCAGAAACGUUGUAACACAGUGAAAAAAUCAACUAUGAUUCUUGUUUUCAUUAUAUUUUGAGAACAAUGUCACUGUAAUACGUAUAUAUAUACAUAUAAUAUAUAUGAACUGGUCUUUUGAAAUAUAUGAAUAUAUAUCCAUAACACCAUUUUGGUGUGAAAACUACACCAUUUUAGUGUUAAAAAGUUUUUCAUCUCUAACCACAACACCAAAUUA